rnacentral:lncRNA from 1 species
GUGUUAGUCUGUAUGCUUCGAGUAUGUUGACUAAUCCAAAUCUAAAAUGAAAACAAAAAAUUACCUCUCUAUAUCUUAAGCAAUAAAAAUCACGUUAUUCCGUAUGUUGCCAAAUAUUAUAUGAUUUGUAUUCUCUUUGUGUCUUUAGAGUUUCAGAAUUUGGAGUGCUUUGCUGUUGGUAAAAAAAUAUAUAUAUACAAUUGGCAAGUAGCUUUGUGUUAGUCUGUAUGCUUCGAGUAUGUUGACUAAUCCAAAUCUAAAAUGAAAACAAAAAAUUACCUCUCUAUAUCUUAAGCAAUAAAAAUCCCUCAGCUGGGAUGGCAAAAAGGAAGAAGACAUAAAAAGAAGCAGACAAAGGUGAGUUUAUGUAACAUGGUAUUGGCGUUUAGUUUUUCUUUUCAUAGGUAUUGGUAGGCAAAUGAAAUAGUCACUGGAAUUGUAAAUUUUGUUUAUGUGUGCUUUAGAAUAUCGUGUCGAG